rnacentral:lncRNA from 1 species
AUGUCACAGGCCGGGGCGAGGAGGCCGUGCUCGAAGGAUUCCACACGGAGAGCAAUAGGACAGCAUGGUUUCUCCAACUGCAGCCCAUGGACCACUGCAUGGAGAGUGGCUGGGGGACUGUGGGGGACGUGGCCACAGUGCAGGUUCUCAGACCCCGCUCCAAACAUCAGACGCAGAAUGUCUCCUGGUAGGGCCUGGAAAUCGAUCGUCAUGAGCAGCCCAUCAGAGAUGCCUAGGGGAGCUAUUAGGAGAUUGGAAAGUAAUCUGGGAGUCUAUUUGGAAAAUUUCCCAAUUCUUCUGCCCUGGGAUAUUUUGUUUACUCCUUUCUUUUCAUCUCACUGGGUAAGUUUCCCCCACUUUAUCCCCGUUAGCAUUGUGGCAAAAAGCCCAGAUCUGAGACAUACCUGACAAGAGACCUCUCCUUGCUGACUCUUCUCCAAGUGUGGUCUUUGGACCAGCAGCAUGGACAUCACCUGGAAACUUGGAAGAAAUGCAGACUCUCAGGCGCCACCAGAACUACCAUAUCAGAAUCACCACUUGAGCAAGAUCUCCAAGUGAUCUGUGUGUAUAAUAAAACAUUGGGAGUGGGGCGCCUGGGUGGAGCA